rnacentral:sRNA from 1 species
UGUAUCUGAAGUCUGACGAGGAUGAGAACCUCCGGGGGCAAGAGGUUCGACUCGAGCGAAGCGAGAGAACGUUGCGUCAGCAACGGCUCGCAGGGCGAGCCACGCAGUGGCGAGUCAUCCUCUAUCACCGACCA